GUGUUUUGGUCGGACAUGUUCAGACUAGUUUUACAUUACUGGGGUUUUUGCAGAAGAUCAAUGCUGGCUUUGAAAAUUUGGCAAUCAGGUGAAAAAAAGAGAGUCAGACUAUUAUGACUAAACUCCAAGGCUCUGAGAGAAUGCAUAGCAUUUAAUACGAGACUAGCUGCUUAAUUCAAAAUGACCAGAAAAGAACAGGAACACUCAGUCACCCUGCACCGACCCUCUGGAGAAUAAACACAUCAUCAUCGCUGUCACCGUCACCAUCAUCAGUAAAGAGUGUGUUGAUGAGAUUAUUAAGAAA